CACACACACACACUCUUUUCCAAAGGUGGAUUAUUCAAACCCCACAGAAUUCCUCUCAACACAUGGCUAUGAUGCUCCCCCACUACUUCUGUUCAUGAUCAGAGAUGCAAAUAUUGUCAGCCAAGGGAUAUGCUCAUCUAGUUAAGGUUAAA